rnacentral:rRNA from 1 species
GGAUGAACGCUAGCGGGAGGCUUAACACAUGCAAGUCGAGGGGCAGCAUAGGGUAGCAAUACUCUGAUGGCGACCGGCAAACGGGUGAGUAACGCGUAUGUAACCUACCCUGUACAGGGGGAUAACCCGGAGAAAUUCGGACUAAUAUCCCAUAACAAUAUCCGGGGGCAUCUUUGGAUAUUUAAAGUUCCGGCGGUACGGGAUGGGCAUGCGUAACAUUAGCUAGUUGGUAAGGUAACGGCUUACCAAGGCUUUGAUGUUUAGGGGUCCUGAGAGGGUGGUCCCCCACACUGGUACUGAGACACGGACCAGACUCCUACGGGAGGCAGCAGUGAGGAAUAUUGGUCAAUGGGCGCAAGCCUGAACCAGCCAUCCCGCGUGCAGGAAGACGGCCCUAUGGGUUGUAAACUGCUUUUAUACGGGAGCAAUAAGGUCUAUGCAUAGAUUGAUGAGAGUACCGUAUGAAUAAGCAUCGGCUAACUCCGUGCCAGCAGCCGCGGUAAUACGGAGGAUGCGAGCGUUAUCCGGAUUUAUUGGGUUUAAAGGGUGCGUAGGCGGCUUUGUAAGUCAGCGGUGAAAUUUUGCAGCUUAACUGUAAAAGCGCCGUUGAUACUGUGAAGCUAGGAUUUGGUUGCUGUGGGCGGAAUGUGUGGUGUAGCGGUGAAAUGCAUAGAGAUCACACAGAAUAUCGAUUGCGAAGGCAGCUCACAAAGCCAAUAUUGACNNNGAGGCACGAAAGUGUGGGGAUCAAACAGGAUUAGAUACCCUGGUAGUCCACACUGUAAACGAUGAUAACUCGCUGUCGGCGAUAGACCGUCGGUGGCCAAGCGAAAGCGAUAAGUUAUCCACCUGGGGAGUACGACCGCAAGGUUGAAACUCAAAGGAAUUGACGGGGGCCCGCACAAGCGGAGGAACAUGUGGUUUAAUUCGAUGAUACGCGAGGAACCUUACCCGGGCUCGAACGGUGCAUGAAAGUUCAAGAGAUUGGACAGUCCUUCGGGACAUGUAUCGAGGUGCUGCAUGGUUGUCGUCAGCUCGUGCCGUGAGGUGUCGGCUUAAGUGCCAUAACGAGCGCAACCCUUGUCAUUAGUUACCAUCAGGUUAAGCUGGGGACUCUAGUGAGACUGCCACCGUAAGGUGUGAGGAAGGGGGGGAUGACGUCAAAUCAGCACGGCCCUUAUGUCCGGGGCGACACACGUGUUACAAUGGGAGGUACAGAGGGCAGCCAGUUAGUGAUAACGCGCCAAUCUCAAAAACCUUUCUCAGUUCGGAUUGGAGUCUGCAACUCGACUCCAUGAAGUUGGAUUCGCUAGUAAUCGCGCAUCAGCCAUGGCGCGGUGAAUACGUUCCCGGGCCU